GAUGAACGCUGGCGGCGUGCCUAAUACAUGCAAGUCGAGCGAACGGACGAGAAGCUUGCUUCUCUGAUGUUAGCGGCGGACGGGUGAGUAACACGUGGAUAACCUACCUAUAAGACUGGGAUAACUUCGGGAAACCGGAGCUAAUACCGGAUGAUAUUUUGAACCGCAUGGUUCAAAAGUGAAAGACGGUCUUGCUGUCACUUAUAGAUGGAUCCGCGCUGCAUUAGCUAGUUGGUAAGGUAACGGCUUACCAAGGCAACGAUGCAUAGCCGACCUGAGAGGGUGUUCGGCCACACGGGAACUGAGACACGGUCCAGACCCCUACGGGAGGCAGCAGUAGGGAAUCGUCCGCAAUGGGCGAAAGCCUGACGGAGCAACGCCGCGUGAGUGAUGAAGGUCUUCGGAUCGUAAAACGCUGUUAUUAGGGAAGAACAUAUGUGUAAGUAACUGUGCACAUCUGGACGGUACCUAAUCAGAAAGCCACGGCUAACUACGU
rnacentral:rRNA from 1 species